rnacentral:rRNA from 1 species
UUUCCGCCAGAGGAUUACAAGUGAAAAACUUAAAACUCAAAGGACUUGACGGUGUCCCAUAUCGACCUAGAGGAGCCUGUCCUAUAAUCGAUACCCCCCGUUCCACCCAACCUCAACUAGCAAAAUAACAGCCUAUAUACCGCCGUCGAUCAGCCUACCCCGUGAGGGUCCAAUAGUAGACAUAAUAACCUAUACCGCUAAUACGUCAGGUCAAGGUGUAGCAAAUGUUGAGGAAGAGAUUGGCUACAUUUUUUAAUAUAAAAAACACGAAAAGCACCAUGAAACCGUGCAUGAAGGUGAAUUUAGUAGUAAAAUAGACAAGAGUGCCUAUUUUAACAACGCUCUGGGAUGCGUACACACCGCCC